rnacentral:rRNA from 1 species
UACGAAGGGGGCUAGCGUUGUUCGGAAUCACUGGGCGUAAAGCGCACGUAGGCGGAUCUUUAAGUCAGAGGUGAAAUCCCGAAGGCUCAACCUUGGAACUGCCUUUGAUACUGGGGAUCUCGAGUCCGGGAGAGGUGAGUGGAACUGCGAGUGUAGAGGUGAAAUUCGUAGAUAUUCGCAAGAACACCAGUGGCGAAGGCGGACUCACUGGCCCGGUACG